rnacentral:rRNA from 1 species
CCUACGGGGGGCAGCAGUGGGGAAUAUUGGACAAUGGGGGGAACCCUGAUCCAGCGACGCCGCGUGAGUGAAGAAGUAUUUCGGUAUGUAAAGCUCUAUCAGCAGGGAAGAAAGAAAUGACGGUACCUGACUAAGAAGCCCCGGCUAACUCCGUGCCAGCAGCCGCGGUAAUACGGAGGAUGCGAGCGUUAUCCGGAUUUAUUGGGUUUAAGGGGUGCGCAGGCGGAGGUGCAAGUCAGCGGUCAAAUUGCGGGGCUCAACCCCGUACUGCCGUUGAAACUGCAUCCCUUGAGUGCGCGAGAAGUAUGCGGAAUGCGUGGUGUAGCGGUGAAAUGCAUAGAUAUCACGCAGAACUCCGAUGGCGAAGGCAGCAUACCGGCGCGCAACUGACGCUCAUGCACGAAAGCGUGGGUAUCGAACAGGAUUAGAUACCCCUGUAGUC